CCCCAUACUCUCUUAAGAGAGUUACAAACGCCCAUGAGGUCUUUAUAUAGGUUUUACACUCUUGCAAACUCAUAAACCUAUAUCUAAUGGAUAGAAAUAACUUAAGAGGAAUGGAUGGUGAGGAUGAGUUGGUCUUGUUGUGAUCUGAGUGAUGUGUGCUGAUUGGAUGAGCUAAGCUGGCUCACUUUAAUUCAAACAAGGCUGUGCUUUGAUUGGUUCUUCUUAGGCUCCUUUGUAUCUGUCCAUAGAUCAGUCUAGGUGCAUGGUCGUGGCUGCCUUCUCUUUACAGCAACAGCCAGCCUGUCCAUGCCCCAAAGUAACCAAUCAGCUCCACAAAGCAUCUUCUUGAUUCCCUUUGACUAGAUUCAAACCUUGGUGCCUUAUCCAUAUACUAUGCACACUCUUCACAUCCUGAAUAGUGACCCAAAUAGUGAAUAGUCAACCUGAAUAGUGACUAGUGAUUCACUAUUCACUUUUACACCAACUUGCCCAAACUUCUCCAAUCUUACUGUGGUAACUCUCCAAAGUUACUGUGGUAACUUUGGAGUUACUGUCUGACCCAAAUCUUCUCUAAAUGGUGUCUAAGUCCCUCCUGGACUUAACCCUAUCUUUGCACACUCAUCAGACCACUUCUGAAGCCUUAAGACUCUCCCAAAGCCUUAACAUACAAUCUCUGAAGAUCUUGCCAUGUCUUUGCACAAGCACCAACUCAACUCAUCACUUUUGCUUCUCCACUUCUUCUCUUCAAGUUAACACUCCCCCUCAAGCUUGACUCUAGCUGAUCCUAAGUCAAGCUUGGAACCUUGAAGAACUUCCUCAUUAAAAACCUCACCAAGGAAAACCCUUUGGGACAAAACCUUGAUGAGGGAAAAAGAGUAAAGUCUCCAAGGCCUAGGGAUUGGCCAGUGAGUCUUUGUGCCUUACCAACAAUGUAAGGGACACAAAGACUCUGGAUCAUGGCCUCUACAAUCAUCCCACGCCUUGUACUCUCCUUACUGCCUAAUCUUGGUCUCUCCCCCUUUCACCUAACCUCUUGUUAGGUUGAAGUGCUCGGACACACCAGAUCAGCCUCUUCUUGGAGAUACAACUUCUCUUACUGAGUCUUGGCUGCUUCUUCUUCUUCUUAUAGAGUCGCCACCUUGUUGCUUGAGCUACAUGAGGAUGCUUCAGCCACUCUCCAAUCACCUCAACACUUGAAGCCGCCUUGGACAUUGCUUCUUCAUCCUUCAUCAUACUUCUCAACAGGUUGCUUCCUCUUCUAGAAUAACCACCAAGCUCUCUUGGAUCAUGUAAGCUUCAACACUCCCCCUCAAGCUUGAGACUCUCACAGGAACAAGCUUGAAUGGAUUGCUUCAUGAUCCUCACACACACACCAUUGCCGCUUCUCUUCUGAUCUUGCCAUCUUCAUGGAAUGCUUGUGGAAGCUUCAGCUAUCUCUCCAAUCACUUCACACUAGAAGCCGCCUUGAUAGAGUUGCCUUCAUCUUCUCACAGCCAAGAGUACUCUGUCUUAGUUUGAGUACUCUCUUGAAUAGACUCGCCACAGCCUAAGCCCGGAUGGCUCCUUCUUCAGAUGGUUGCAAUGGACUUCUUGGAUCGCUUGGAAGCUCACUAAACUCCCCUCCUCAAGCUUGGAUUGAGUAUAGGUCCAAGCUUGCAAGUGAGCUUCAGUGAGACUUCACACCAGUGGCGCAUCACCACUUCUUUCUCAACUCUCCAUUGCUCCACACAAUGGGCAAAGUCUUCCUCUUUCAACUCGGAUGGAUGGUGAACCAAGAACACCUCUGUGAACCUGAAACAUCACUCAAAACUCCAGCAAAGAUAAGACACAAGUGCAUGGGGUCAACCCUUGAUGCAUCAUCAAGUUUGAACACCAAUGUCUUUAAGCAAUGCAACAGAUUAAACUAGACAUUUUCAAGUUCUAAUCUUUGCAAGCAAACUCUCUAAGCACUAGCAUGAUCCUAACAGAUUCAAUACAAGCUACUUAGGCAAUUUUUAAAGCUUCUUUACUCAGCAUUUAGACAUGAAUCUAAUGCUUCAAUGUAAGGACAGCCAUUUGACAGUAUGCACUAACCUUAAUCAGUUUUAAUUCAUGAAUGCAACAAUACAAUCCAUCACACAUUCAUUUAUAACUUAGGCUAAGCAUUACUAUCAUCACUUAUCAUCAGACAAUGCAUUACUUUCAAUCUGUUUUCAGUUCAUGAGCUUCAAACAAUAUCAUUUCACAUUUAGCAAACUCAUUACUUAACAGGAGCAAGCAUUUUACUCUUUAAACACUAAACAAGCCUUUAAAGCAUCCUGGGACAGAUUCAACUAAUUAUAUUUAGCAAUCACCACAUUAUCCUCAGGUUUUUCAAUCAAUACACAUCACACUAACCAGGCAAUAACACAACACAAGCUCAUUAUCAAGAAGGUUUUAAGAAUCGCUUACACAAGGAACCAGGUUGGUUCCUUAAGCCUCCAAAGGCAAUCUGGCCAUGAUAUGGUUGGAUUCAAGAGUCUAGGUCGUCACCCAACUCCUUCUCCUUCAGUCCAUGGCCUCCUUCUUGUUCUCACACCCAAAGACCCCUCCUUUCUUCAUACUUCAAACCGGCUUCUCUUAGCUUCAUCUUUCUUGUAUCCGGAUGUGAUAAGCUCUUGGACAAGGAGCUUUGGCUUGAGGUUCAUGACGCCUCUCCAUCCUCCUCUGCUUCCAAAGAGACACUCUCCAUCAGGUAAAGACAGGCACGGUUGAGAGAUAAGGAGAACACUCCAUGCUUCAAGCUCUUUCUUUCUUCAAGAACUGAACUCGGUGGUAAUGUCUUCAAGGGUUUGGUUUGAGCUGAGAUGAGAGCUGUGGAUUUGCGGAAGCUCAGCUCAGGUUCUGAUGAACCGGCUCUGAUACCAUAUGAGAUUUGAGAGCUCUGGCUGUGUAUGUGUAUGAGAAGCCAUUAGAGGCAGAGAAUAAGGUCUUGAACUAGUUGAAUAAGAGGUCUGAUGAAACUAGUAUGAACUUGAAUCAGAAACAAAGAGACUUAGAGAGAUUAAGAGAUUAGAGACUAAGAAAGGGGUAGAUUAAGGGAAUCUGAUCAAGAACACACUUUUAUAUUUAUGAAGGAGUUGGGAAAAUCCCCCAUACUCUCUUAAGAGAGUUACAAACGCCCAUGAGGUCUUUAUAUAGGUUUUACACUCUUGCAAACUCAUAAACCUAUAUCUAAUGGAUAGAAAUAACUUAAGAGAAAUGGAUGGUGAGGAUGAGUUGGUCUUGUUGUGAUCUGAGUGAUGUGUGCUGAUUGGAUGAGCUAAGCUGGCUCACUUUAAUUCAAACAAGGCUGUGCUUUGAUUGGUUCUUCUUAGGCUCCUUUGUAUCUGUCAUAGAUCAGUCUAGGUGCAUGGUCGUGGCUGCCUUCCUCUUUACAGCAACAGCCAGCCUGUCCAUGCCCCAAAGUAACCAAUCAGCUCCA
rnacentral:lncRNA from 1 species